rnacentral:rRNA from 1 species
GUCCUUUUGAUUAUAAUUUAAGGUCUGGCCUGCCCACUGAGUAUUUGAAUGGCCGUGGUAUUUUGACCGUGCUAAGGUAGCAUAAUCAUUAGUUUUUUAAUUAAAAACUGGAAUGAAGGGUUAUAUAAGAAAAUAACUGUCUCUAUUUAAUUUUAUUAUAAUUUUAUUUUUAAGUUAAAAAGCUUAAAUUUUAUUAAAAGACGAGAAGACCCUAUAGAGUUUAAUUAUAAAAUUUAAUUUUAUAUUUUAGUAUUUAUUUAUUUAUUUAUUUUAUAAUUUAAUUGGGGUGAUUGAAAAAUUUAGUAAACUUUUUUUGUAUUAUUACAUAUUUAUAUGAUUUAUUGAUCCAAUUAUUUUGAUUAUAAGAUAAAAUUACCUUAGGGAUAACAGCGUAAUUUUUUUAGAAAGUUCAUAUUGAAAAAAAAGAUUGCGA